GAUGAACGCUGGCGGCGUGCCUAAUACAUGCAAGUCGAGCGAACGGACGAGAAGCUUGCUUCUCUGAUGUUAGCGGCGGACGGGUGAGUAACACGUGGAUAACCUACCUAUAAGACUGGGAUAACUUCGGGAAACCGUAGCUAAUACCGGAUAAUAUUUUGAACCGCAUGGUUCAAAAGUGAAAGACGGUCUUGCUGUCACUUAUAGAUGGAUCCGCGCUGCAUUAGCUAGUUGGUAAGGUAACGGCUUACCAAGGCAACGAUGCAUAGCCGACCUGAGAGGGUGAUCGGCCACACUGGAACUGAGACACGGUCCAGACUCCGAAGGGAGGCAGCAGUAGGGAAUCUUCGGCAAUAGGGGGAAGCCUGACGGAGCAACGGCGCGUGAGUUAUGAAAGUCUUCGGAUCGUAAAACUGUGUUAUUAGGGAAGAACAUAUGUGUAAGUAACUGUGCACAUCUUGACGGUACCUAAUCAGAAAGCCACGGCUAACUACGUG
rnacentral:rRNA from 1 species